AGUGAACGCUGGCGGCGUGCUUAACACAUGCAAGUCGAACGAGAACGGGCUAUAGCUUGCUAUAGUUGUCAGCUAAGUGGCGCACGGGUGAGUAAUGUAUAGGUAAUAUGCCUCUUACUAAGGGAUAACAAAUGGAAACGUUUGCUAAUACCUUAUACUCCUUAUUAACAGAAGUUAAUAAGGGAAAGAUUUAUUGGUAAGAGAUUAGCCUGUAUUGUAUCAGUUAGUUGGUGGGGUAAUGGCUUACCAAGAGUAUGAAAAAUAACUGGUUUGGGGGGAUGAUCAGUCACACUGGAACCAGGACAAGGUGCAAACUCCUACGGGAGGCAGCAGUGGGGAAUAUUGCACAAUGGACGAAAGUCUGGUGCAGCAACGCCGCGUGGAGGAUGAAACAUUUCGGUGCGUAAACUCCCUUUAUAUGAGAAGAUAAUGACAGUAUUAUAUGAAUAAGCACCGGCUAACUCCGUGCCAGCCGCCGCGGUAA
rnacentral:rRNA from 1 species